GACGAACGCUGGCGGCGUGCCUAAUACAUGCAAGUCGAACGCUUCUUUCCUCCCGAGUGCUUGCACUCAAUUGGAAAGAGGAGUGGCGGACGGGUGAGUAACACGUGGGUAACCUACCCAUCAGAGGGGGAUAACACUUGGAAACAGGCGCUAAUACCGCAUAACAGUUUAUGCCGCAUGGCAUAAGAGUGAAAGGCGCUUUCGGGUGUCGCUGAUGGAUGGACCCGCGGUGCAUUAGCUAGUUGGUGAGGUAACGGCUCACCAAGGCCACGAUGCAUAGCCGACCUGAGAGGGUGAUCGGCCACACUGGGACUGAGACACGGCCCAGACUCCUACGGGAGGCAGCAGUAGGGAAUCUUCGGCAAUGGACGAAAGUCUGACCGAGCAACGCCGCGUGAGUGAAGAAGGUUUUCGGAUCGUAAAACUCUGUUGUUAGAGAAGAACAAGGACGUUAGUAACUGAACGUCCCCUGACGGUAUCUAACCAGAAAGACACGGCUAACUACGUG
rnacentral:rRNA from 1 species